rnacentral:rRNA from 1 species
UACGAAGGGGGCUAGCGUUGUUCGGAAUUACUGGGCGUAAAGGGCGCGUAGGCGGUGUGUCAAGUCAGGCGUGAAAGCCCCGGGCUCAACCUGGGAACCGCGCUUGAGACUGGAGUACUAGAGUUCGGGAGAGGAUGGUGGAAUUCCCAGUGUAGAGGUGAAAUUCGUAGAUAUCGGGAGGAACACCUGUGGCGAAAGCGGCUCACUGGACCACAACUGACGCUGAGGCGCGAAAGCUAGGGGAGCAAACAGG